GACGAACGCUGGCGGCGUGCUUAACACAUGCAAGUCGAGCGGAAAGGCCACUUCGGUGGUACUCGAGCGGCGAACGGGUGAGUAACACGUGAGUAAUCUGCCCUUGGCUUUGGGAUAGCCACCGGAAACGGUGAUUAAUACCGGAUACGACCACUUCUCGCAUGGGAUGGUGGUGGAAAGUUUUUCGGCCAGGGAUGUGCUCGCGGCCUAUCAGCUUGAUGGUGAGGUAAUGGCUCACCAUGGCUUCAACGGGUAACCGGCCUGAGAGGGUGGCCGGUCACACUGGGACUGCGACACGGCCCAGACGCCUACGGGAGGCAGCAGUGGGGAAUCUUGCGCAAUGGGGGAAACCCUGACGCAGCGACGCCGCGUGGGCGAAGAAGGCCUUCGGGUUGUAAAGCCCUGUUGGUAGGAAAGAAAACUGACGGUACCUACUGAGGAAGCCCCGGCUAACUCCGUGCCAGCCGCCGCGGUAAAAC
rnacentral:rRNA from 1 species